rnacentral:misc_RNA from 1 species
AAGUCGUAACAAGGUUUCCGUAGGUGAACCUGCGGAAGGAUCAUUAAAGAGUUAGGGUCUCUCAGGCCCGACCUCCCAACCCUUUGUUUACUGAACCAUUGUUGCUUCGGUGGGUCCGUCUCACGACCGCCGGGGGGGGACCCCUCCCUGGCCCGCACCCGCCGAUAGCCCAACCUUUAAAAUCCUUUAUGAAUCGUGUCUUAUGUCUAAAUCAUGAUAAUAAAUCAAAUUAAAACUUUCAACAACGGAUCUCUUGGUUCUG